rnacentral:rRNA from 1 species
CUUGGUCAUUUAGAGGAAGUAAAAGUCGUAACAAGGUUUCCGUAGGUGAACCUGCGGAAGGAUCAUUCACAAACGAGUGUUUUAUGGCACUCUUUAAAAAUCCAUAUCCACCUUGUGUGCAAUGUUUGUUGGGAAAGUCUUUUCUUUCCCUUCAUAAAUAUCAACCUAUAUCUUUAACAACAUUCGUCUGAUAACAUAUUAUGAAUAUACUUAAUUCAAAAUAUAACUUUCAACAACGGAUCUCUUGGCUCUCGCAUCGAUGAAGAACGCAGCGAAAUGCGAUACGUAAUGUGAAUUGCAGAAUUCAGUGAAUCAUCGAAUCUUUGAACGCAUAUUGCGCUCUUUGGUAUUCCGAAGAGCAUGCUUGUUUGAGUAUCAGUAAACACCUCAACCUCUCUUUUUGACAAAAAAGGAGGGUGGACUUGAGCUAUCCCAACGACCUUCACCGGCAGGCGGGCGGCUUGAAAUGCAGGUGCAGCUGGACUUUUAUCUGAGCUAAAAGCAUAUCUAUUUAGUCCUCGUCAAACAGGAUUAUUACUUUUGCUGCAGCUAACAUAAAGGAUAAUUGUCCUCUUUGCUGACUGAUGCAGGAUUUUACGACACUUUAUGUGUUGUUCAACUCGAUCUCAAAUCAAGUAAGACUACCCGCUGAACUUAAGCAUAUCAAUAAGCGGAGGA